rnacentral:misc_RNA from 1 species
GUGAAGAACGUAGCGAAAUGCGAUAAGUAAUGUGAAUUGCAGAAUUCAGUGAAUCAUCGAAUCUUUGAACGCACAUUGCGCCCGUCAGUAUUCUUGCGGGCAUGCCUGUUCGAGCGUCAUUACGCCCCUCAAGUCCCCUGUGGACUUGGUGUUGGGGAUCGGCGAGGCUGGUUUUCCAGCACAGCCGUCCCUUAAAUUAAUUGGCGGUCUCGCCGUGGCCCUCCUCUGCGCAGUAGUAAAACACUCGCAACAGGAGCCCGGCGCGGUCCACUGCCGUAAAACCCCCCAACUUUUUAUAGUUGACCUCGAAUCAGGUAGGACUACCCGCUGAACUUAAGCAUAUCAAUAAGCGGAGGA